GCUCUGGUGGCCAAGCUGGUAAGGCGCGUCACUAGUAAUGACGAGAUCCUCGGUUCAACUCCGAGUCAGAGCA